rnacentral:lncRNA from 1 species
GGUGGAUGGGGCUGCCUUUGGAGUUUUGCAAAUACUGGAAGAAACGGAGCUGGAAUGUCCUGCAAGGCAGAGCUGGGGGACACGAGUGGCACAGAUUUGCUUAAAUGCCUUCCUCUGGUACAUCUGAGACCUUAUUCUAUCAAUCAAAACGAAGCCAGCACAGACAGCGACGGCUGCCUCCAACAAAAAACAGGAACGGGGCGAAGAACCGGGUGUCCUGUAGGACAAAGCCACGGGGCACAACACACCACCAGCUCCUGGUGUGCAAAAACAAGGAGGAAAAGGGAGAAAAACCCAUUCUUGGACCAGGAGAGCUUCCUGUUUUGGGAACGGCCGUGGAAUUCUACCUAAGUUGCAGGAGAAAGAGGCUUCCUUCGCAGGAUGCUGGCAUCAUCCCACAAAAAGCAGAAAGAAAAUGGGAGAAAAGAAAGAGAGAAAGAGAGAAAGAGAGAAAGAAAGAGAGAAAGAAAGAGAGAAAGAAAGAGAGAAAGAAAGAGAGAAAGAGAGAAAGAAAGAGAGAAAGAGAGAAAGAGAGAAAGAGAGAAAGAAAGAGAGAAAGAAAGAGAGAAAGAAAGAGAGAAAGAAAGAGAGAAAGAGAGAAAGAGAGAAAGAGAGAAAGAGAGAAAGAGAGAAAGAAAGAAAGAAAGAAAGAAAGAAAGAAAGAAAGAAAGAAAGAAAGAAAGAAAGAAAGAAAGAAAGAAAGAAAGAAAGAAAGAAAAUUGAUCCCUCCCUUUCUCCCUCCAUCCAUCUCUCCAUCCAUCCAUGCUUCCAUCCAUCCCUCCAUGCCUCCAUCCAUCUUGAUCUCUGCCCUGAGGUCCCAACAGUCACUCUGUGUUUCAGGGUCUGUCACGAGAUCCUGCCCUGAGAUUUUUUGUUUUAAACAUCCCUCACGCUUGCGAGGUCUGACAUCUCUGGUUUCUAGUGCCUGUCACUUCUGUUCCACCAACCCACCUGAGGGAAUGAACACGAACAACAAAAGACACGAGAGAGGGAGAGGGUUUAAGGUCUCUCUUAGAGCCAGCCUCUUGCUCCCUCCUUGCCUUUCAAAAGUUCACAAAAAAAGGAUGUUUAAACUGCUGAAAUGCUGCAAAUCUCACCUUGCGAUUAGCACUGCUUGCUUUUUAUUUUUAUUUUGCAGAACAAAAGGUUAGAUUGGCCGUUC